rnacentral:tRNA from 1 species
UCCCUGGUCGUCCAGUGGCUAAGACUGUGCACUCCCAAUGCCGGGGGGCCUGGGUUCAAUCCCCAGUCAGGGAA